AACGAACGCUGGCGGCAGGCUUAACACAUGCAAGUCGAGCGCCCCGCAAGGGGAGCGGCAGACGGGUGAGUAACGCGUGGGAAUCUACCCAUCUCUACGGAAUAACGCUUGGAAACGUGUGCUAAUACCGUAUACGUCCUUCGGGAGAAAGAUUUAUCGGAGAUGGAUGAGCCCGCGUUGGAUUAGCUAGUUGGUGGGGUAAAGGCCUACCAAGGCGACGAUCCAUAGCUGGUCUGAGAGGAUGAUCAGCCACACUGGGACUGAGACUCGGCCCAGACUCCUUCGGGAGGCAGCAGUGGGGAAUAUUGGACAAUGGGCGCAAGCCUGAUCCAGCCAUGCCGCGUGAGUGAUGAAGGCCCUAGGGUUGUAAAGCUCUUUCACCGGUGAAGAUAAUGACGGUAACCGGAGAAGAAGCCCCGGCUAACUUCGUGCCAGCCGCCGCAGUAACAC
rnacentral:rRNA from 1 species